rnacentral:rRNA from 1 species
AACUUAAAGUUUGACCCCCCGAAACUAAGCGAGCUACUCUAAAACAGCCCACAGAGCCAACCCACCCCUAUUGCAAAAGGGCGGGGAGAUUUUAAAGUAGAGGUGACACACCAACCGAGCCUAGAGAUAGCUGGUUAUUCAAAAGACGGAUUUAAGUCCAACUUUAAGCUUCUAUCAGUGGCACAAACAACCCACAAGCUUAAAAGCCAUUCAAAUAAGGUACAGCCUAUUUGAACAAGGAGACAACCUAUAAUACAGGGUAAUGACCCCCCCCC